GCCAGGCAUGGUGGCGCAUGCCUGUAAUCCCAGCUACUCGGGAGGCUGAGGCAGGAGAAUCGCUUGAACCCAGGAGGCAAAGGUUGCAGUGAGCCGAGAUCGCGCCAUUGCACUCUAGCCUGGGCAACAAGAGCGAAACUCUGUCUCAA
rnacentral:SRP_RNA from 1 species